rnacentral:rRNA from 1 species
UACGUAGGGGGCUAGCGUUGUCCGGAAUCAUUGGGCGUAAAGCGCGUGUAGGCGGCCCGAUAAGUCCGCUGUGAAAGUCCAAGGCUCAACCCUGGGAUGCCGGUGGAUACUGUCGGGCUCGAGUCCGGAAGAGGCGAGUGGAAUUCCUGGUGUAGCGGUGAAAUGCGCAGAUAUCAGGAGGAACACCAAUGGCGAAGGCAGCUCGCUGGGACGUGUCUGACGCUGAGACGCGAAAGCGUGGGGAGCAAACAGG